rnacentral:rRNA from 1 species
CCUACGGGAGGCAGCAGUAAGGAAUAUUGGUCAAUGGAGGCAACUCUGAACCAGCCAUGCCGCGUGCAGGAAGACAGCCCUCUGGGUCGUAAACUGCUUUUAUUCGGGAAUAAACCUCAUUAUGUAUAGUGAGCUGAAUGUACCGAAGGAAUAAGAAUCGGCUAACUCCGUGCCAGCAGCCGCGGUAAUACGGAGGAUCCAAGCGUUAUCCGGAUUUAUUGGGUUUAAAGGGUGCGUAGGCGGCUUUUUAAGUCAGGGGUGAAAGACGGUAGCUCAACUAUCGCAGUGCCCUUGAUACUGAAGAGCUUGAAUGGACUAGAGGUAGGCGGAAUGUGACAAGUAGCGGUGAAAUGCAUAGAUAUGUCACAGAACACCGAUUGCGAAGGCAGCUUACUAUGGUUUUAAUUGACGCUGAGGCACGAAAGCGUGGGGAUCAAACAGGAUUAGAUACCCUGGUAGUCCACGCCCUAAACGAUGAAUACUCGCUGUUAGCGAUACACAGUUAGCGGCUAAGCGAAAGCGUUAAGUAUUCCACCUGGGGAGUACGGUCGCAAGNUUGAACUGAAGAUUGACGNNGAGAGNGCGAGACGACGACGAGGGAGGAGG